rnacentral:RNase_P_RNA from 1 species
UGAGCCGGCUGGGUGGCCGCGGUGUGCCGUCCCGAGAGGGAGCCGGCAGCUGAGGAAGGUCGGGGCUCCGCAGGGCAAGGUGCUGGCUAACGGCCAGUCGGGGCGACCCGCAGGAAAGUGCCACAGAGAGCAGACCGCCGAUGGCACGUGCAGGCGUGCACAGGCAAGGGUGAAAGGGUGCGGUAAGAGCGCACCAGCGCCCGAGGUGACUCGGGCGGCUCGGUAAACCCCACCAGGAGCAAGGCCGAAACGGGGACGGGCUGCCCGUCCGAUGUCCCCAGGUGGGCCGCUGAGAUGGAUGGCCACCCCGCCGGCGGCGCCGUGAGGCGUCCAGCCGGCGGACAGAACCCCGCCUACAGGCCGGCUCACCAC